AGCGGGGGAAAGCUUGCUUUCCCUGCCGGCGAGUGGCGAACGGGUGAGUAAUACAUCGGAACGUGCCCUGUAGUGGGGGAUAACUAGUCGAAAGAUUAGCUAAUACCGCAUACGACCUGAGGGUGAAAGUGGGGGACCGCAAGGCCUCAUGCUAUAGGAGCGGCCGAUGUCUGAUUAGCUAGUUGGUGGGGUAAAGGCCUACCAAGGCGACGAUCAGUAGCUGGUCUGAGAGGACGAUCAGCCACACUGGGACUGAGACACGGCCCAGACUCCUACGGGAGGCAGCAGUGGGGAAUUUUGGACAAUGGGCGAAAGCCUGAUCCAGCAAUGCCGCGUGUGUGAAGAAGGCCUUCGGGUUGUAAAGCACUUUUGUCCGGAAAGAAAUGGCUCUGGUUAAUACCCGGAGUUGAUGACGGUACCGGAAGAAUAAGGACCGGCUAACUACGUGCCAGCAGCCGCGGUAAUACGUAGGGUCCAAGCGUUAAUCGGAAUUACUGGGCGUAAAGCGUGCGCAGGCGGUUGUGCAAGACCGAUGUGAAAUCCCCGGGCUUAACCUGGGAAUUGCAUUGGUGACUGCACGGCUAGAGUGUGUCAGAGGGAGGUAGAAUUCCACGUGUAGCAGUGAAAUGCGUAGAGAUGUGGAGGAAUACCGAUGGCGAAGGCAGCCUCCUGGGAUAACACUGACGCUCAUGCACGAAAGCGUGGGGAGCAAACAGGAUUAGAUACCCUGGUAGUCCACGCCCUAAACGAUGUCAACUAGUUGUUGGGGAUUCAUUUCCUUAGUAACGUAGCUAACGCGUGAAGUUGACCGCCUGGGGAGUACGGUCGCAAGAUUAAAACUCAAAGGAAUUGACGGGGACCCGCACAAGCGGUGGAUGAUGUGGAUUAAUUCGAUGCAACGCGAAAAACCUUACCUACCCUUGACAUGCCACUAACGAAGCAGAGAUGCAUUAGGUGCUCGAAAGAGAAAGUGGACACAGGUGCUGCAUGGCUGUCGUCAGCUCGUGUCCUGAGAUGUUUGGGUUAAGUCCCGCAACGAGCGCAACCCUUGUCUCUAGUUGCU
rnacentral:rRNA from 1 species